CGUGUGGUUCUAUUUUGUUGGUUUCUAGGACCGCCGUAAUGAUUAAUAGGGACAGUCGGGGCCGUGUGUAUUCAAUUGUCAGAGGUGAAAUUCUUGGAUCUAUUGAAGACAAAUUACUGCGAAAGCAUUCGGCAAGGAUGUUUUCAUUGAUAAGGAACGAAAGUUAGGGGAUCGAAGACGAUCAGAUACCGUCGUAGUCUUAACUAUAAACUAUGCCGACUAGGGAUCGGACGAUGUUAUUUUUUGACUCGUUCGGCACCUUUCGAGAAAUCAAAGUGCUUGGGCUCCAGGGGGAGUAUGGUCGCAAGGCUGAAACUUAAAGAAAUUGACGGAAGGGCACCACCAGGGGUGGAACCUGCGGCUUAAUUUGACUCAACACGGGGAAACUCACCAGGUCCAGACACAGUGAGGAUUGACAGAUUGAUAGCUCUUUCUUGAUUCUGUGGGUGGUGGUGCAUGGCCGUUCUUAGUUGGUGGAGUGAUUUGUCUGCUUAAUUGCGAUAACGAACGAGACCUUAACCUGGUAAAUAGCCCCUAUUGCCUCGGCAGUAGGCUGGCUUUUUAGAGGGACUAUCGGCUCAAGCCGAUGGAAGUUUGAGGCAAUAACAGGUCUGUGAUGCCAUUAGAUGUCCUGGGCCGCACGCGCGUUACACUGACAAAGCCAGCGAGUAUUUCCUUGGCCGGAAGGCCCGGGUAAUCUUGUUAAACUUUGUCGUGC
rnacentral:rRNA from 1 species